rnacentral:rRNA from 1 species
UAUGUUAGCUACAAUGGUUGCAGCUAGCUCUCUGCAACUCUCACGUGGUCGCCCGCUGAAGCUAAGCAGAGCCUAGUACCUAGAUGGGAGACCACAUGGGAAAGCUAGGUUGCUGCCAGAA